rnacentral:rRNA from 1 species
GUACGGGAGGCAGCAGUGGGGAAUCUUGCACAAUGGGGGAAACCCUGAUGCAGCGACGCCGCGUGAGCGAUGAAGCCCUUCGGGGUGUAAAGCUCUUUCGGCAGGAACGAUAAUGACGGUACCUGCAGAAGAAGCUGCGGCUAACUACGUGCCAGCAGCCGCGGUAAUACGUAGGCAGCGAGCGUUGUUCGGAGUUACUGGGCGUAAAGAGUAUGUAGGCGGUUUUGCAAGUUUGGUGUGAAAUCUCCCGGCUCAACUGGGAGGGUGCGCCGAAAACUGCAAGGCUUGAGUGUGGGAGAGGAAAGCGGAAUUCCUGGUGUAGCGGUGAAAUGCGUAGAUAUCAGGAGGAACACCGGCGGUGUAGACGGCUUUCUGGACCAUUACUGACGCUGAGAUACGAAAGCGUGGGGAGCAAACAGGAUUAGAUACCCUGGUAGU